CGGGGGAGGCGGGAUCCUGGGCUGUGUCCGGGCGCCCUGUGCUCCGGGGCCUGCGCUGGUAGAUUCGCGCUCCCGCCCCGCAGCCCCCU
rnacentral:pre_miRNA from 1 species